UUCUGUAUAUGCAGCAUGUUACUAAAACUGGAACGAUACAGAGAAGAUUAGCACGGUCCUUAUUGCUGUCUUUUCUUUAAUUUUUUGAAUUUUUAU